UUUUUAGGUUCCCGUGUGUGAGAAGUCUUUUGAGUAUAAACCCCAAUUUUUCAGUUUGUCAGAGAAGAAUUCCAGAAGCGGCGAGUGCGAGAGAGGAAUGGAGCACCCGUAUUCAGGAGGAGGAGGAGGAGGGAGCUGGACGAUGAUCCCGAAUGUGCAGACCCACAGUAACACCUCUACGCCUUCGAAUCAGGACCAUCUCUAUCUCCACCAUCACCAGCAGCAACAACAACAACAACAACAAUUUCAACAUCAACAAUUUCAGCAGCAACAGCAAUUUCAACAACAACAACAACAACAACAGCAACAGCAACAGCAACAGCAGCGUCUUCUUCUUCAGCAGCAACAACAACAGCAACAACAGCAGCAGCAGCAGCAUCACCACCAGUCACUCGCUUCCCAUUUCCACCUCUUCCAUUUUGUGGAGAAAUUAGCGGACACCAUUGAGAAUGGAACUAGGGAUCAGCAAUCAGAUGCUUUGAUCAAUGAUUUGAACAACCACUUUGAGAAGUGCCAGCAGCUGUUGAACUCCAUUUCCGGAUCCAUUAGCACUAAGGCUAUGACAGUUGAUGGACAAAAGCGGAAGCUGGAGGAAAGUGAACAAUUGUUAACCCAGAGGAGAGACCUGAUUUCCAAGUACAGAAAAUCUGUUGAAGAGCUGGUCAAGUCUGAGCCUUAGAUGCUUCUUGCCUUCCUGACAUGGAGUAAGGCAAUUACUCAAAUUUAAUUGAGCAGUACAAAAGGACUAACUAGUAGCAGGUUGAAUUCUUUUCCAUUUUCUCAAACUCUGUAGGAAUGGAGGGAGGCUUCUGAUUAGUUCUGAGCUCACGCCAUUUUAGCUACUCGAGAAAAUUAUUCAUCAAGGGUUUUGUCGUUGUACAUGUAUGCUUUUUAUACAUCUAAGAUUGUUAUUAUUUUUUUGUAACCUCUAGUGUCAUGUAUUACAGUUUGUCAGUUUCUUGAAAGGGAAUAUGUGUCUGAGCUAUGGAGUUCUUUCUCAUACUGCUUUGUCGAUGUUAAGGAUUUUUAGCUAUUUUGUUUAAGCAAAAUGUUGUUUUUCCUUUGAUACCGUUAUAUCACUUUAAUUCGGGCACUUAUAAUAAAUUAUAUAACAUAUUCCUAUA